AUGAAGCAGUCCUACAGCUGGAUCAGGCCUGUCCUGGUCUUCCUCCGGUCCUGGACUCGAGCCUGUCCUGGUCUCCCUCCGGUCCUGGACUCGAGCCUGUCCUGGUCUUCCUCUGGUCCUGGACUCGAGCCUGUCCUGGUCUCCCUCCGGUCCUGGACUCGAGCCUGUCCUGGUCUCCCUCUGGUCCUGGACUCGAGCCUGUCCUGGUCUUCCCUCCGGUCCUGGUCUCGGGCCUGUCCUGGUCUUCCUCUGGUCCUGGUCUUCCUCUGGUCCUGGUCUCGGGCCUGUCCUGGUCUUCCUUCGGUCCUGGACUCGAGCCUGUCCUGGUCUUCCUCUGGUCCUGGACUCGAGCCUGUCCUGGUCUUCCUCUGGUCCUGGACUCGAGCCUGUCCUGGUCUUCCCUCCGGUCCUGGACUCGAGCCUGUCCUGGUCUUCCUUCGGUCCUGGACUCGAGCCUGUCCUGGUCUUCCCUCCGGUCCUGGACUCGGGCCUGUCCUGGUCUUCCUCUGGUCCUGGACUCGGGCCUGUCCUGGUCUUCCUCUGGUCCUGGACUCGAGCCUGUCCUGGUCUUCCCUCCGGUCCUGGACUCGGGCCUGUCCUGGUCUUCCCUCCGGUCCUGGUCUCGGGCCUGUCCUGGUCUUCCUCUGGUCCUGGUCUUCCUCUGGUCCUGGUCUCGGGCCUGUCCUGGUCUUCCUCCGGUCCUGGACUCGAGCCUGUCCUGGUCUUCCCUCGGUCCUGGUCUCUGUCCUGCCGCUGGCCGUGUUGCCGCCUCCCUCUCCACCUUUUCAUCAUCAGCCUUUUUUCUAUUACUAAUUUCCUUUUAGCCAGAAGCUUCACAGUGCCUAGAACAUUUGAAAACGAGGAUGUUGCUCCAGAUUUCAUCACUUUAAUUAGUUCAGAUGAAAUAAAAAGAGCUGAAUAGGAGGAUUAUUUAGAGCUGCGAUGAGGACUGAAGCGGAUGGCGGUCUCGGUUCGCCUGCAGUGAAAAGCCUCAGGAGCGCUCACGUUAACUCAUCUCAGCGUUACAGAACCCGUCCACCUGCCUCACACUGAUGUCAGAUCAGAGGACUCUGCUCUGCUCUGAUCUGGUGCUGUCACAGAGGUUAUCAGGAGGUCUCAGAAGCUCUGCAGGCUCCAUGACUGCAGCUUUACAGGAGGUCCAUCAGUGAAGCUGCUGUGGAGCUUCAGGUGGUUUCAGAGGCUCUCCAGAAGGUUUCAGAACCACAGAUUCCUUUCAAAGCUCUCAACAGGGCUCCAAAGCUUCAAGAGGAAGUUUCUUAAGCAGGUUUUGAAGCAGGCUGCACACAGGUGUUCUUUAUUUGUGAUGGUCUCCAGGUGAUGCAGUGUGACUGAAGUCCUUACAGGAGUUCAACCCAACAGGCUCCUCUGGUUGAGUUCAGCUGCUACAAGUUAUCUUUACAACGCAGGAGGUCAACAGGUUCAUCCUGACAGCAGAAGUGGGCGCAGUGUGAUACAGACAGGUGUGACACAGACAGGUGUGAUACAGACAGGUGUGAUUAAAGCUGUAAUUAUCUGUACCUGCUCGUCAGCUCCGUCAAACCCAAACCUGUGAUCAGACACACAUCAGGGUGGAGCUCACCACCACCUCAUCCUAUAAACUCAACUCACACACACACACACACACACAGGCUGUUGUAAGAGUAGGAGGAGCCAAGUAUUACCCAGCAUGCUUUAGGAGGUGACUUGUGUGUGAACAUCGAAGUUUAAUAAGAACUGACCACCGGACUCAAAGAUGGCGUCCACUCACUUGAGCUCAGUUUCCUCAGCUGGUUGACGACUUCACACACUCUAAAUGUCGCUCAGUGCGAUUCUGUGAAACUCCACCUCCUGCUGUGACAGUCAGCUAAUAAUCAUAUGAUGUGAACAUGAUGUGACACGUUUGUCGACCUCGGACGUAUCUGCGGUCUGCAGAACACGUUACCUGCUCACAUUAUAUGCUGGAGAUUUAAAGGGAUAUUCCGGUGUAAGUUUAAUCCAUGGUCUAAAUCACCGUGAAACUGUGUUAGACUCUCUCUCUCCAGAGAUCAAGUUAGCAGACCGCUAAUUUACGGAGUUUUAUCAACCUCAGAAACGACCGCACGACAACAAUACACUGCAGUAAAUGGAUCCAAAUAUAAACCGCCACCAAAAAGCCACAAAUAAUGCUCAGAACAGCACCAAACUUCAGCAACAGUACAAAUAGGGUCUCAGCACAUAGUCCGGGGCAUCUAACCUCCGCUAGCUUAGCUGGAUUUCUAUUGUGAAGCUAAAAACAGAGUUCAACUCUCCUCCAUCAGCUUCCGGGUCGGGGAAGUCCCGACGCGACGAUUACCGAGUGCGGUUAGAAAUGCUCAAUUCCGUUCUUUUCCCUGUCCGCUCUCGAUAAUAACUGUUAUAAACUGGCAGGUAAGACACAUAUGAACUUUGAUUGCUUUUCCAUGGAGUCAUAAUCAUACAUUUUCAUCCAUGAGCCGCGGAACUCUACUGCACUCGGUAAUCGUCGCGUCGGGACUUCCCCGACCCGGAAGCUGAUGGAGGAGAGUUGAAAUCUGUUUUUAGCUUCACAAUAGAAAUCCAGCUAAGCUAGCGGAGGUUAGAUGCCCCGGACUAUGUGCUGAGACCCUAUUUGUACUGUUGCUGAAGUUUGGUGCUGUUCUGAGCAUUAUUUGUGGCUUUUUGGUGGCGGUUUAUAUUUGGAUCCAUUUACUGCAGUGUAUUGUUGUCGUGCGGUCGUUUCUGAGGUUGAUAAAACUCCGUAAAUUAGCGGUCUGCUAACUUGAUCUCUCGAGAGGGAGUCUAACACAGUUUCACAGUGAUUUAGACCAUGGAUUAAACUUACACCAGAAUAUCCCUUUAAUAAAAAGUUCUACACUGAUUAUUUUUCAUACUUAAAGUGAAGGGAUGCUGACCACCAGGUGUUGCAGUGAGCCAACAGGUACUGUAGUUGACCUGCCGCCUGAAUGUGAAGCAGCUCCUCCUCCUCGGCUCGAGCUCUGAGGGCAGUCAUCAUUUAUCCAACAGGCAGUGAAGCUCUCAGCAGACGGUUUGUCCUCGUAGUGAACGACACUAAAGUCACAGCAAACUAAUAAAAGGACGAGUUCAGAGAGUCAGACUGAGGUGACACAUCCAGUCCACUCACAGCUUAAAGAAGUCAAAUCAAACAUUUCUAACAAGUCUGACGGCAAGUUACUUAGAAACAAAUUAGAAGAGAAUUAAACAGCAGCAAAGUCAGUGAGACACAGCGGUCACAUGGAAGCUGUUCAAAUAUUAACAAGGUUAGUUUCUUCACAUCAUGACUACGUGGUCGUGUGAUUGGAGACUGAUUCUGCUUCCUGAUAAGGCUGCUGCACAGUUUGAGUCGCACCUGGAGACAUUCUAAGCUGUUUUUGUUGCAUCAAAAUGGAAACAUUUUAUUACAGGAAGUUGGAACCAUCUCCGUCUGUCAUCACGGCGACCAAAACAGCUGUUUUAAUCCAAACCGCGAUGUUUUCUGACCCUAACAAUGUUUUUUUGUGCCUGAACUUAACCACAACAUCAACACAGAGUGAGAAAUAGAAAACCUACUGAAACGUUCAGUUUGAGCUUCUCUGUGCAGAAAC
ensembl:lncRNA